UACGUAGGCAGCGAGCGUUGUUCGGAGUUACUGGGCGUAAAGGGUGUGUAGGCGGUUGGUUAAGUUUGGGGUGAAAUCUCCCGGCUCAACUGGGAGGGUGCGCCGAAUACUGAAUGACUUCGAGUGCGGGAGAGGAGAGUGGAAUUCCUGGUGUAGCGGUGAAAUGCGUAGAUAUCAGGAGGAACACCGGUGGUGUAGACGGCUCUCUGGACCGUAACUGACGCUGAGACACGAAAGCGUGGGUAGCAAACAGG
rnacentral:rRNA from 1 species